GUCUGCGUCGAUUAGUGGUUAAAUCACCUCGUUGUGGCUUUAAAUCGGCGUAAGUUGCUAUGCAACUUAUGAAGUAAUCAUCCCCGAGGAGCCGGGUGUUCGAUCCACCCCGCGGACA